AAGACUUCUUAAUUCCUUCUGGAGUAGGCUUCUAGUGAAUUCACAGACAACUGCACCAGUGUUUUGAAUCAGGCUUGAUGUUUGUUUUCUUCUUUUUCAUCAAGGCGGCCUUUUCUCCCUGCUGACCCCCUACCAAAGGCACAGUGGUGUGGAAGCUAAGAUUUCAUCUGGAGACACUCUCGAAGCACUUGGCCAAGGCACUGAAACUCGCUGCACUGCUCUUUAUUCAACUGUAAAAUGUGGGUGUCAUUGGGGUUCCUAAUUUGAAUCUACUCUGAGAUUCAGGAAUUUCUGGACAUAUACGAUCAAGUUGUAGGAUGGUUUCAUUAGAACCCUAUUUUCAGGACAG
rnacentral:lncRNA from 1 species